GACGAAUGCUGGCGGCGUGCUUAACACAUGCAAGUCGAACGGAAAGGCCCUGCUUGCCGGGUACUCGAGUGGCGAACGGGUGAGUAACACGUGGGUGAUCUGCCCUGCACUUCGGGAUAAGCCUGGGAAACUGGGUCUAAUACCGGAUAGGAGCCAUUUUUAGUGUGAUGGUUGGAAAGUUUUUUCGGUGUAGGAUGAGCUCGCGGCCUAUCAGCUUGUUGGUGGGGUAAUGGCCUACCAAGGCGGCGACGGGUAGCCGGCCUGAGAGGGUGGACGGCCACAUUGGGACUGAGAGACGGCCCAGACGCCGACGGGAGGCAGCAGGGGGGAAUAUUGCUCAAUGGGCGCAAGCCGGAUGCAGCGACGCCGCGUGGGGGAAGACGGCCUUCGGGUUGUAAACGCCUUUCGCUAGGGACGAAGCUUUUUGUGACGGUACCUAGAGAAGAAGCACCGGCUAACUACGUG
rnacentral:rRNA from 1 species